UACGUAGGGGGCAAGCGUUGUCCGGAUUUAUUGGGCGUAAAGAGCGUGUAGGCGGCUUUACAGGUCCGUUGUGAAAACUCGAGGCUCAACCUCGAGACGCCGGUGGAAACCGUAAAGCUAGAGUCCGGAAGAGGAGAGUGGAAUUCAUGGUGUAGCGGUGAAAUGCGCAGAUAUCAGGAGGAACACCCGUGGCGAAAGCGGCUCUCUGGGACGGUACUGACGCUGAGACGCGAAAGCGUGGGGAGCAAACAGG
rnacentral:rRNA from 1 species